UCUGUUGGCUGUUUUGCUUCUUUCAGUGGCCACUAGGCUAAGAAGAUGAGGGCUUGAAAAAAGCAAAGCUUGAAAUUCCUGCCAGAGGUGAAUGGAUGAAGAUAUAGCUGGUUUAACUUUGUAUUGGGACUCUGAGAUGCUCCUUAUUGUCACUGCUUCCAUGGACCCUUUAGGUUAUCCUACUACGAAAUUUUUUCAACCCGUGGCUUGGAAAAUUCCAGUGUGUUUUGCAUAUAAAUUCUCUUCCAUCAACAAUGUCCAAUUCCCUUUCCCAGCUGUGUUAUUGGGAU
ensembl:lncRNA